GGUCGCUGGUCGCUGGUGUACCGUACUGUGUGUGACGUGUUGAUUGAGCGCUCAAUGGUUGGUGUAAGCGACGGCUGCUCAUAGUUUUUCGUCGUUCGUUGGCCUUUGGCCGUUUCUAGGUGGUGUGCUGAUGAAUUCUGCCGUUCAGUUGUUGGAUGGUCGGUUGCCAGCUUGACGUGCUGUGCUGUGGUGCUGUGGUGCUGUGUCGUGUUUGUGCAUUUGAAGUGAACAAGGUACUGAAACGACUGCGCAUUACUAUCAAUAAUUAGCGCAAAAUGAGUGGAAUUACAACAGAAUCAAUAAAAAAGUAACCGAUAAUGGAAGCUAAUAUUCGGAAAAUGUUCGACAUUAUUUACUGUUUAUUUUCAAGUAUGCGAGUAUAAAUAGAUAAAUACAUAAAUUAAUAUAUAGACAUUUGUUCGAAGUUCGAAAAUUGUGCGAUUUUCCGAUUUACACAAAUGAAUUCAAUGAUAAGAUGGAAAAAGUCGAAAAAGUCGAAAAAGUGCUUGUAAUGAGAAAUAACAUCUAAAAUAUAAAAGUGCGAAAUAAAACUGGAAAUAAACGCAUAUAAUUAAUAACUAAAAAUGUUUGCGAACUACGCAGUUGACCAACUAGCUACGACGCGGCCGUGGAGCUUGGCGAGUGCUCAGCUAGUGUCGUUGGGGAGGAAUUCGCCGAUCAUGCCGUUCAUGGCGAUGGUGUUGACAGUAAUAGAGUGCAGCUCAUAGCAAAAAAAAAGCCUGACUUCAGCUCAAAUGCCUUUCGGUGGAGCUUUUGGUGUUUUAUGCUACUGGCGCAAGAAGUGUCAGCGCCGCAGUUGUCGUAUCUUUGUUUCGCCGUUUGGUUAUGUGGGCACACGAAAACUAUUCGUUCUGCCGAAUUGUUGGUCGUUGUACGAAUGUACGCUACCGAAAACCGAGGCGGAUUCGGAAUUUAACGACAACGAGUAAUGUCGCCGAAACUUAAGUUCUUCUUUAAUUGUUAUUAUUAUUAUUAUUGUUAGUGUUGUUGUAUUUGUAGUUGUCGAGAAGGCCAACCUUCGUCGGUAUGGUUGACGACUUUAUAGCGCCACUUGCGCCACUUGAACAACUAAUUCAGGGCGACAGCAAUAACAACAAGCAGAGUAACAAUAAGAAGAACAACAAUGACGACAAUAAUAUUCGUAACAACAAUAAAUGAGGCUAAGACAAUAAAGUGAAAAUGUGAACUUUGAAACAAAUGAUUUUUCUAACCAAUUUAAGAGGCCCGACACACGCACACACAUAUAUACAUGUAUUAAAAAGACGAAACGGAGCAGUGGAUUAUAUUUGGAUGAAUUUAGCCACGAGAAUACAUGUACAUAUUUACAAACAUACAUUGUUGGUAUAACACCGAAAGCAAUGACAAUCUUAAAGUGGAUCAAUGACAGUCGUUUUUAAGUGCGACAGUGCCACGCAACUAACUGCAAUGCAAACAUCAGUGAUUCGGUCUAGAAGUGGACAACUGAAAUGUGCAUUCCUGAUUUAGAGCUUGUCUAACGUAUACUAGUAACUUGGUGAUAUGACAAAUUUUAUAUAUAUUUACAUACUUGUAAAUAUCUGCUUGGAAUUCGUUAGUAAAAAAAAUACGCAAAAAUUUCCUGCUGGGGCUGUGACGACAAUGCGUACAAAUUUAAAUAAUUUGUAAACAUGAUAAUAGAGAGUAUAAAGAAGCUCAAAUGCCAAACAACAAGAACAACAACAAUAAUAAACAAUCAGAGGAAAUUAAGCAAUCAAAAGUAACACAAAUGUAGUCGAACAAAUAAUAUAGAAAAGGGGAGAGCGGAAGCAGGAACGCCAUCGCCGCUUUGCAAAUGAAAUGGAAAUUGAAAAGCCCAGACAACGACAAUAACAACGACAGCAACCACUUCAGCGAAAACACUUCCGUCACAAUGAGUACUACGAGCAAAUGAAACUAAAACAGACUUUGCACCAAUUUUCAAUGGCACGAGCGUCGAGAACAUUGAACUAUUUUCCACUUUUUACGGCGUGUAUAUAUUUUUAUGGAAAGUGUUGAGUUAUAUCGACGCCAUCCGACUUCACCGCAAAUAUAUGCACCUAUUUAAAAAGAAUAGAUAUAAACACACGAACCUGCACACAUGCAUGCCCAAAAUCGUGCUUGUAUGAAAACGUAAGCGAUUCUAAGUAAGUGAGCAGCGGAACAGUGAACACCGAACGAAGUACUCUACAAUCAGAAAUCGACGAGCAGCAACAGUCAGUAACUUACUAGCAACGUCUCGUCUUCCAAAAAAAAAAACAAAAAAAUAAUAAUAAUAUUAUUAAUAAUGAAGAACGACUGAGACUGUCUUUGUUUGCAGCCGAAUGGAAUGGCAUGAAACGGAGCCUGAGACUGGCACGGGCGUGAGUGCACUCUUAUCUGUAAAUCGCGAUCUACACCGACUCGACACCAAUCCACACGAAUAUCGAACACUCGCACACACGCAAUCAGCGAUGACACCGUUUUACGAAUUCGCUCCGCCGCUUUUGCGUUUAUUGAAUGGGAUAAGUACAUCGCCAUAAACAGAUAUUGUAUGGAGCUGCAAGCAAGCACCCCAAAACGAAAACAGAAACCGAAAAAAACUGGAAAUUUUCAAAAUGAAAACAAACAUUGUGGAAGCAAAGCGCAGCUGAUAAGCUGGAGGUACCCACACGCUGUUCCGUCACCAUCUGCAGCCAGAACACUUCGGGUCAAUACUCGUGGUAGCGCCCAAUGCUCCUCCGGACAGUUGAUUACCCCAUACCCCAUCAUUGUCGGGGUUUUUAUGCCGUUGUUGUUGUUUUUUUCAAAUGGCUGGCAAAAUGGAAAUCCCAACAAAAUGCAACUUCUUACAAGCAAGACAACCUCACGAAUAUCAACCCGGAGAAUAUUAGAAGAGUUAAGGUCCGUUUAUGCGAAGCAAAUGUGGAUGAACAG